rnacentral:misc_RNA from 1 species
GGCUCCUUCUUCUAUGUAACUUAAACAAUUGUUUGUGUUAAUACCACCUCCAACUUGUAAGCCGCCAGGAUAAGCAUGCAGUGCUUCUACAGCUGCAGCUUUGCUUAAAGGAUCAGCUCCAAGCAUGAUUACAUGACCACCCACAAGCCCAUCUUCUUUGUAUAAAUUUGCAAACUCUGCUGCUGACUUAUCUGAUUCAAAGUUUGUUACAAGAAUUGACCCGUCCUCCUUUGAAUCUCGAAGGGUAGACCCAACAAUUUGCUUCACUUUUCCCUUGUGUAAGUCGAUGCAAGGGCGGAAGCGAACGGCACAGUGUAUAGACAAACGCGAAGAUCUGCAGACAAGUGAAGGCGAGGUUGUGAUACAUUUGUAGUUGUUUCGAA